GGAAAAAAGAGUUUAGGCGACGUUUGUUUAGCGACGUUUUUUUAAACGUCACUUUUUUUUUAACAUUUAACGACGUUUUAUAAAACGUCGCAUAUUUGCAUAAUAAAACGAUACCGUUUUGUAAUAGGAGGCGUUGAAAAACGCCUCCAAAUGCAUUGUGAUUCACGCGCCCCCUUUUUAAACCCUAAUUUUGAAUCUGAGACUCACCUAAGACCCAGAUCUCAAGCGCGCUCUCUCGCUCUCUCUAAAUCUCAGAGCGAUUUCGAAGCUCCACCGCUUAUUCAUUCUCAGAGCGAGGUAGCGAGCACCAACGAAGAGCGUCAGAGAUUCAGAUCGGUCUCCACCAUCUGCACCAUCGUCUGCACCAUCAUCUGCACCAUCGUCUACUAAGUUGCAGAGAGAUGGAGUCCCAGUCCCUCAAGCUUCGCAACAUUUUGGAGUUUCACAAUCUCCCAAUCUCGCCGACUCAUUGGUUCUCACUCCUUGUUCACCCAUGUGAACUCACUUCUCUCCCAUCACUCUUCUUAUCAUCGUCGAAUCCUUCUCACACUCGAAUUCUUCACCAAUUCAGUCGAAUUCAAACAGCCCCUUGUUGCAAAGAACCUGUACAUUUUCCAAUCGACUCGGUGGAAACUUCUUCAAGCCAUGCAUUCUAGUCCGCGUCCAAGGUCGAAGAUGAUGACACCAAUUCGAUGCCCUCUGGUACUAUUUC